CAUUAAAACAUUGCCUGUGCUUCUGCAGCAGCACAGGGAAAGAAGAGCUCACUUGGGAAGCCACCACAUUUCCUGCCUUGUGUGAGCUCUUGGAGGGUGGUGGUGCAGCAGUGUCUCUUCCAGGACAAAACUGGAUUUGGAGAGGACUGCAAACCUCAGAGCGGUGUUGAAGCUGCAGCUUUUCUGUUUCAUUCUGCAUGAGUUUCAGAAGCAGCCUUCUACCUAAUUCUGCCCUCUGGACUUUUGUCCCUUCCCUGUGCCCUUAUCAGGGUAGGAGGCAGGAGCAGGCAGGGCUGUGAGGCUCAGCCUGCAGCCAAACCAUCCUGCCCUUCUCAGAUAACAUUGUGCCCAGGGGAAACGACAUCUAAGAGUUACAGAGAGACCAGAAUGACAACAGCAUCGUUAAAGCCUUUGUCAUUCGUGAUGAAUCCUUGCCAGAAGUCUUCCUCAGCUUCAGAGGAUGAAGAUCUGUUUUUAAAGAGGAACAUCAGCUGAGCUAAACCCAGAUGAAAUUCACAGCACUACACUGCAUUCAUCAGCACAAAGAGCCAGAAAGAUGCUGUGUACCACACAGGGGAAAAAGUACAGCAGCAUCAGACCUCACAGCUUCAGGGCUUCUUUUGGAGCUAAGCAAACUUCCAGCAAUUCUCCAGGCAGGGAUUUAUUUCUGUUGUGCUCUCGCUUUCCAGACACAGCACAGCUACUCCUGGGGCUGGGCCGAGCACCCCUUUGGGAGCAGCAGGGUUACAGGGUGAUCUCUCCUGUGGAACACUUGGUGCCCCCUUGAGAAGUGUGAUCCAAACAAGAAAACAACUUGCUGGGAGUCUUCCAACCAAAGCGGUGUUCUAGAACUCAUUUAUUUGUGUGAGUGAUCUAAUGAAAGUCAAAGGAAAUUCAGAAUAAUAUUUCUUCCACCAGAGGGUCUUUUUUUAGCAUCUUUGAGAACUGUGCAGUAUGACAAGAGGUAGGAGAGAAAGGGAACAUGCUGGACUGAGUAAUGGCAAUUGUGAUGAACAUAUUUCAGCUACCUUAAAUAUACAACUCACUGUAAAAGAAAUAAACAGCCAAUCUGAGGAACUUUUUUUUUUUAACAUCCUCCGGAGUGAUUAUUUUUGAAAUAUGUGCUUGUUGUGUUCCACUUCUAUAAAACAUGUACAUAGGCAGGUUUCUGAGCAUCACAUCCUUCAACUCCAGCACAGGAGGUUGUGCUGAGGGAGUGUUUUUUGGUUUGGGAAGGGAGGAGUAGGGUGUGGGUUAUUUUUAGAGUUUUGUUCCUUUUUUUCUGAACAGGGAAAUGGAAUGGUAUUGAAGAAAAUGAAAUUUUUAAAAAAAAGGAAACUGGAAUGGCAUUGAAAGCAGGAGUACACCCUUUCCCUUCCACGGCAGGAGGGAAGCCAGCAGACCCCCUGUUACCCCAAUACACUUACUCAAAGCACUGAGAGCUGUGUAAAC